GAUGAAGAACGUAGUGAAACGCGAUAUGUAAUGUGAAUUGCAGAAUUCAGUGAAUCAUCGAAUCUUUGAACGCACAUGGCGCCUUCCAGUAUCCUGGGAGGCAUGCCUGUCCGAGCGUCGUUUCAACCCUCGAGCCCCCGUGGCCCGGCGUUGGGGAUCUGCCACGGCAGGCCCCUAAAACCAGUGGCGGACCCGUAGGCCCUCUCCUUUGCGCAGUAGCAUCAGCCUCGCAUUGGGAUCCCUCGGCGUCCUGCCUCUAAACCCCCCACAAGUCCGCUCCGGCGGCACCAAGGUUGACCUCGGAUCAGGUAGGAAUACCCGCUGAACUUAAGCAUAUCAAUAAGCGGAGGA
rnacentral:misc_RNA from 1 species